rnacentral:lncRNA from 1 species
ACCAAAAAUCUUGCUCUGGGGUAAAUUGUCAAUACUCGGUCUCUUAUGGAGAUGGAUCCUUCUCAAAUGGCAAUCUUGCUACCGAAACUGUUACUUUGGGUUCAACAACAGGACAGGCCGUGGCUCUGCCUGGAAUAACCUUUGGUUGCGGAACAUACAAUAAUGGCUUGUUUAAUUCAAAAACAACCGGAAUUGUUGGCCUUGGAGGCGGCGAUAUUUCACUUAUUUCUCAAAUGCGAACUACAAUUGCUGGUAAAUUCUCCUAUUGUUUGGUUCCAGUUAGCUCAACCAAAAUCAAUUUUGGCACCAAUGGAAUUGUUUCAGGUCCAGGAGUGGUUUCUACUCCCUUGACUAAAGCCAAAACCUUUUAUGUUCUCACAAUUGAUGCAAUCAGUGUAGGAAACCAAAGACUAGGAGUAUCGACUCCAGACAUUAUAAUCGAUUCUGGUACAACACUUACCUUAUUACCACAAGGUUAUAACUCAAACUUGUUGUCAGUAAUGUCUAGUAUGAUUGAGGCACAACCUGUUGCAGACCCUACAGGAUCACUUGAACUUUGCUACAGUUUUAAUUCACUAUCUCAAGUUCCUGAAGUUACAAUACAUUUCAGAGGUGCAGAUGUGAAAUUGAGUCCUUCCAACUUUUUUGUGAAGGUCUCGGAGGAUAUUGUGUGUUCUGUUUUUACAGGUACCAAUAGCGUGCCAAUUUAUGGUAAUAUAAUGCAGACCAACUUUUUGGUCGGCUAUGACAUAGAACAACAAACUGUGUCAUUUAAACCGACAGAUUGCACCAAGCAGUAAUUAAUUGGGAAGCUUAAGUGAUAGUCUCCACUCUACUGGAGUUUUGUCGAGUGACUUUGAAGCCACUUUCUUCGGCCGACCGACCGAUUUCAAAUUCUAAUGCAACUGGAGCUGAAAAAAUAAAUGUAGUUUGCAAUAUUACUGGGGUGCCCCCCCGGGGGGGGGGGGGGGGGGGAAAUUUUGAAACUUUGUUUUUAUUUUUUGGUUUCCCAAAAUUUUUUUCCCCACAAAAACGGAUUAGCUCGGUUUUACUGUGUUUGGUUUUGAAUCAAUAAGGCAUAAAUUAAGAUAUUUGAUGUUAUUUGUGUCACUGUGUCACUCAAAAGAUCGUCAAUCACUAAAUCAACACAAAACACAAUAUCUGGUCCAUUAUUAAUUAACAAUCAUCUAUCAGUCGCCAACAGCUACGAUAUAUAUUCCACUCAACACUUUCUAACAGUUUGACAUAAUUAACUGCUUCACUGUAUUUUCUUUUGUAUUAAUUACUAAAGUAUAAGCUAACAAUAGUAUAUAAUUAAGAUUUAAUUAUUCUGAUCAGUUUCUAUAAUUCCCAUAGCCCAUUCUUUCAAUAUAUAUAAAAGCUUUUGGGUUGUCGUGUGGUGCUUGACUCUUAAGUCUUCAGUCACCGAUAAUAAUUUUGCCCUCAAUGGGAACUUAAGACCUUUUAUGCUUCCAUACGACGAUCCGAAGACCAUGUGCAUUUGACUCUGCUGGUUUUCGGUCCCCCUAAUUUUUAUCUCCCUUUGCUUUUCUUUAACCUCAAAGAAGGAAAAAUUCUUUAAACCAUCUUAUUGUUAUUGUGUGGGCCGAGAUCAUAAAACAUUGGUCAUAACCAAUAGUCCAACUCCUCAGUUAAUUGCUUUGCUAAAUAUGAAAAGAACGCCGCUAAAACACGCCACUAUAGUUCAAAUAAAACCCUGUGUCUUGUUUCCAUCAUAUUAGAAGAAAUAUAAAUCUAAUUAAAUCCCCAUAAUUUCUUUAUAUAAAGCAUUGAAAAAUGAUAUUUAUCUAAUCGUUAUAGAAACAACUAUAAAAUUAUAUGGUAUUAAUGUAGUUUUUUAAUUAAUUGUAACACCAUAUACAAUAAAACCUCGAUAAUUUAUAACCUCGGGACCAUGAAAAAUCUAUUAAUUUAGCUAGUAUUAGUAUAUCGAUAAAUUAAUAAUUUAUUAAUUUAUAAAGAUAAUAUCACGUUCGUAAUAGGGACUUUUAUGAAGUGUGGUAGUAUAAUUAGAUCUCUCAAAAUCAAAAAGUUCUGAUCCUUAAUUCUUUAUUGUCUCAAGGCUUGUUGUUGCUGGGUCUUCCCUCAAAUCUUUAUCAUGAAUAUUUACAUGUAAGCUUUAAUUUUUUUAAUUUAAUUUACCGAAUUUAGGGUUUUCAAUUGUCAAUAUAGGAUUUCUUAUGUUGAUUCCAUUUUAUUUGGAGCAAUUUCUUGUAUGUUUGGUUCAUUUAUUUUUCUUACAUUUAGAAGUAAUAUAUCAAAGACCAUGAAAAUUCUCAUUUGUGCCUUAACAAUCCGAAAUUUUGUAUAUCAUUCACAUAAUAGGUUUUUUCAUCUUAAUUAUUUCUUUUUAGUUAGCAAAUACUGAGGUGGAUCUGAAAAUUGUAUCUUAUAAAUUUGGGUAUAUGGACAUCUAUUAGAAUUUAAUCUACGUUCAUGCUUUUGGUCUUUAAUUAAUUGUCUGUCCCUGCCUCAUCUUGCUUGAAACAACCUUUUAGUUGUUUCUUGCUGUUAAUGUUUACAGCUUGUAGUAGUCUGUAAUCAUCGGAAAGAUUUCUUUCCAUAUUUUUUUUAAUACCUUUUUUUUUUCCUUGCCUAAGUGCGAAAUUUUUGUGCUAUAUUUCAACAAAUUGGGUUAUGAUGUAGAUCCUUUUAAAGUCCCAUGAUUUCUUAAUGAUUUUAAGUCGUGAACUCAACGCUGUUUAACGUAUCUGGGACUCGAUGUACUCACUAAAUUAUUAUUAUUAUUAUGAUUAUUGAGGAUGAUGAUAAUCAUCGUCAUCAUCCAUAUAAAUUGCAAACUUGUUAUAUAAUUGCCUGAUGAUGCAAAAAGGGAAAAGCAAUAGAGAUUAAAAUUUAGACCUUUCAUUUUAGUAUUUCUUUAGGGAGGGUGAUAAGAGAAUCAUUCUGUCGGUUUCCAACUAGACAAUGCAUAUAGCUAAAGUUUUGCAUCAAUAUUGUGAUGUUGUGAAAGAGAGAAAUGAGUUGAUUGAUGUGUAGUGUCUACAAACUUGGCACUGCAACUGCUGUGCAGUUUCUAAGUUUGAGAAUAUGUACUGAUUUAAUUAGAACUUGCAGAUUCUUAACAGCCAGAAUUUUCUCUUGAGCUACAACAUAUAUGGGUUGCAUUGGCAUUUUAAAGGAGGGAAGACUUCAGUUGAGGUAGAUCUUUAUGAUGUCUCAUUAUUUGUGGACUUUCCUUUACUAAUUUCAGUUUUGUUGUUUUUGUUGGCUGUACUGUUGAUUCUGUUGUUUUGUCACUUCUCUUAUUGAGUUGAUUUUAUUUCUUAUAUACUAAUAUCAAUCCCUCUGUCUGGUUAGGGUAAUGGUUAUUGUUGCAUUUUUCCAACCAAUUGAUGCUUAAGUGCGAUCCAUAAGUGAAGAUUUAUCUUGCUGAAUUUAGUCUCAUGCUCGUGGUUUUCUUUUUGCUUUGUUUAAAUGAAGAUUUAAAUUAAUCUAAAUUUUUUUGUUCUUGGUAGUUUUUGGGUUUUAUUUGUUAAGCUAGAAAACUUGAAUUUGACUUAUUAAAUUGGUCAUUAGACACAAACAAGAUUAUCAAUAAGCCCAUAUUGCUUGAUUAUUUAGAUUGUGCCCAUACAAAAGGACUAAAUGCUGAAAGUUCUCAAAAGCCUCUCAAAAUUCGUGAUAGCCUCGUGUUUUGUUUAUAUGAUUAGCAUCAAUACAUAAUUCUUUUAGGUUAAAUUGAAUGCACUAGUACUAAAAAAAAAAGAAAAAAUUGUUGUAGAAGGCGAUAUUUAAUUGGUACAAAGGCAUGAAUAAGUUAUCAUAAUUGCUCCUUGCAUUUGUGUAGUUCGUUCAUAUUCUUAAAUUGAUGUCUAACAUAGGUACAAACUCCUGCAGAAGAUUAAUUGAGUAGAUGGAAUGUGAAGAAAAAUAAAAUGGCUUCCAUGCGAAUUACAAAAUAUAGUUAUAGAAUUUCUUUAUUGAUGUUUGAGUUGAUUUAUUGCAACAUUUGAUUUUCAUUUCGUAUUAGGUAUUGCUAUUUUUAUCCUUUUGCCAUAUACUUAUUAUAUCCUUAAUGACCUUGCAUUUAUGGAUUGCAUGUCACAGUUGAAUGGUUUGGAUGAAUGUAAGCGUGAUUUGAAGUUAAGUACACCUUAAUUUUUCUAAUUUACUUAUAUGGGAAAAGUUUGUUAAGAAAGCAUUAUUUUGUUUCUUUUUUAUUAACAGAAUAAAAUUCUUAUUUAUUUUUAAAUUCAUAAUGCAGGUGAUCAAGGAUAUUCUGCAAAAAUGUAUUGAAGAGUGAGAACAAAUUGAAGAUAGUAUUUAAUACUUUUUUAAAGGUCACUAGAAAGUAUAGAAGUAUGAUAUAUGAUUAUGGAUGUUUAAGUAUUUUUAUUUUAUCAACGAACAAUGUAUAAUUUCUUUUUCAUCAAUAGAAUGACUAAAAUGAUGUAUUGAAUUAAUGAAUUGAAUGAAGAAUAAUUUCUUUUUCAUCAAUAGAAUGACUAAAAUUAUUUAUUGAAUUAAUGAAUUGAAUGAAGGGCAUUGAAAUGCUAUGAUAGCAUGAUGUUAAUGUUUUUGUAGCAUUUAAUAAAAGUUAUGUUAGACAAUUGCAAGGGAACUGUACACGAUUUGGUAGCGUUUUCUAAAUGCUCUCUUUGAACAAUGAUAGCAUUCACCUAAAGCGACAAAAGCUAAUUGCAUUGCACUAAUUCAAUGCUAUGUAUCAUAAUUUGUGGCAUGUAAAAAAUGCUACUAAUGUGUAAUACUUUUAGUUACACCGGCUAACUUAGCAUUGUUCAAAAUGCUACCAUUCACUUUAAUUUGGUAGCAUUUUUCAGAUGCUAUCAUACACUGUUUUUGUUGUAGUGUAAUUAAAGAAUAUAGAGAUUCUAUCAAGCUGUAUAAUAUGAUUCUAGUUUGAUUUUAAUUGAGUAAAUCAAUGACUUGAUAAUUCUUUUGCUAGAUUGCAUGGUUGCAUCACAAUUAGAUGAUAACACAUCAAAGAAGACUUUUUUGAGACAAUAUAUUAAGUCAAUUUUUCUCUUGUUUCUCUUAACCUAUCACAUAGAAUACAACACUGGCUUCUCUUCUAAAAGUUGUAGAGAAAUAACAAUAACCAAUGGAAUGCAUAAAUCAUUAUGCUAGUACAACAAAGAAAAUCUUAAACAUAUCAUAUGUGUUUAAUUCCAAAUUGGUUAAUUAUUAAUUUAUGUUUAGUUGAGUCCUAUAGAAAAAUAAGAUUUCUUAUUUUUCUACAACAAUUAUUGUUUAAUAAAUUUAUUGAAUUAUUAAUUUACUAAGUUGGGCCCACGUCUGGGUUGGCGAAAACUAUUAUUUAAUCAAUGUUAUUAAUUUAUCAAGUAUUAAUUUAUUGAGGUUCCACUAUAUAUAGUGUUAAUGUGUAUUCUGUUGUCAAAUAUAAAAAUAGUGCUGCUAUUAACACCUCCACUUACAAUGCAAAUAAAACCCCUUUUUGGUCACAGUUACAUCAAAAGAAAGAAAAUCCAUCCAAAUACUCCCUGAACCUAAUUUUAAUAGAUAUUUUUGUUACAUAUAUAUCCUUUUGUCUCUUUAACGUGUUUUACAACCUUUUGUCUCUGUUUUCCCUCUCUACAAUUGUUUUUCAACCUGAUGAUGGAUUUUUAAUCUUUCUGCAAUUGUUUUUCAACCAGAUGAUGGAUUUUUAAUCUUUAAUAUUUAUUCUUAUAUUUUGUAAAACUUCUCUUAAUCUAGGCUUCCUUUCAAUUAAUUAGCUUUGUUUCUUAGUUUUUAUUGCAUACAUUAUGUAUGAUGCAAUGCACUAUAUGAAACUUUAACAAUUAGGUUUCCACUAAAAAAGAAGUGAAUUUGAAAAUGAUCUCCUAUAAAGAUCAAAAGAUUGCAAAUUUGUUUUGAAUUUGAUUUGUAGUAAGAUUUAUAAUACUUUAUUGUCAUUGAUAUAAAUUAAACAACAAUACACUUGGCGUUAAAAAAGAAAUUAAUGGAGUUUCAAAUGAGAUAGAUUUUCAUUUAAGGAAAAAACAAAAAAACAAAACUGGAACAAGCCAAUAAUGAAGGAUUUGGUAAUAAAACCAUGAUUAAGACAAAAUAAAUAUUAGAGCUAGAAUCCGCUAAUAAUUAUAAAGAUGAUAAGGAUAUAUUGAGUAUAUAGUAAAAGAUGAAAUUUCAAAUUUUAAUAAUAGAUCUAUUGAGUAUUAUGAUGGGUUCAAAUAGAGCUCAUCAUAAAAGAAAUAUAAAUAAUAUUAAACUCUUAUAUUCUCUAAAUAUAAAGCUUAUUACACCUACACAAUACACAGCCACUUAAACAAUUGGACAUUUUUUUUUCCUCCUUACAAACACUUAUGAAAAUUGAUGCGGGUGCUCUUCGUUCAUAUAUAUAUCGUGACAAUAAACGGAUUCUAAAUAUGUACAUUUCCAAAUACAAAAUAAUAUUCGUUAGCGAGUAUUUACUACAGUUAGAAACUCACCUCAUACUUAUGUUAAAGAAUUUCUUGAUUGAUUUCCCUGGACAUAUUCCUGGGCAUUACCAGCAUGAAUUUAAGGAAAAAAUAACUAAAUAAUAACUAAAACAAUCAAAAUCCCCAUACUCUCAAGAAACCUUUUGAUGAAACGGAAACGUAAAGGGCUGAAAGAUAGACGAAACACAAAUUUUUGAAUAACAAAGUUUGAUUGAGUAAGCCUGAAUUUAAAAAAUUAGGAUUUUGGACCCCUUUAUAUAUAUAUAACCCUAAAUAUCGAGAAUUUAAUAAAAUAGAUAAAUUCAAAAUAUUAUUUUAUAAUAAAAUUCUCAUAAUUGAACUAAGAAAAGCAAAACAAACGGUGUUAAAAUCCGAUAUUUAGAAAAAGAAAAAGAUAAAAUCCUAAAAAGAAUUAAAAAAAAGAAAAUUCUUUAAAAAUGAAAAAUGACUAGGAAAGAAUCAGAAUUUCUGGCUUCUCCACGGGAUAGAAAGCCAAACUUCGAAAUAGUAUAUUAUACGCUAAAAACGGACACCUAUAGCCUAAGUUGUGCCCUCCGAAAGAUACUUCACUCGAAAUACACAACCAUCCCACAUCAUCUUUGAUAUUACCAUUACCUUAUACUAUUAAUUAAAGAUUGCGAAUUUAAUGUUCCCAACUUGCAACGAUUUUUGCAAACAACAUUUUCAGCAUUUGAGUCGAAGACAUGUACUUGUUUAAAAAUUUUGCUAAAAACAUGAUUUAAUAAUAAUACGGAAUGUAUUUGGUCCCUUAUUAAUAAUUAUGACGAUCAGAUUGUUUUAAUUAGUUCCGUACAAAGAAAUGAAAAGAUGUGUGUAAAUUGUAUUUGUAUCCGGCCUUUGACCUUUGAAAAUUGCAACGUUAAUAUUUUUUCGUGCAUCUCUAAAUUACAUUCUUUCAUGAUUCACUUGAAGAUUAUACAGCCAACAAAUGCUACAAAAUCCAUGCAAUAAUGGAAAUCAUGAGUUGUUAAUUUUUAAGAAAAUCAUUGUAUAUAAGGAAACUAGAUUAUAUACGUUGAACCUUCCUUAUUUUCCCUUUCUCAAUUUCUUAUUUCUAAUUCAUCUUUAACUCCAUUUCCUCCUAUAUAAACACCCAAAAAAGUACUCUUUUUAGUUACAAAUUAACAUCUUAUAAUUAGUCAUGGCAACUGUUAAUGCUUUAGCAAUUUCAUUCUUAAUUCUUUGUCUGUCUACUGUCUCCAUAACAGAUUCUAAGGGAGGCUUUAGCCUUGAUCUAAUCAGUCGUGACUCGCCUAAAUCUCCCUUUUACAAUCCUGAUGAAACUCACCACCAACGAGUCACAAAGGCCUUGAAACGGUCUGUUAAUCGUGUCAGUCAUUUUGAUCCAGUUAUUAUCACAGCAAACACUGCCCAAGCUGACAUAAUCUCAUCCCUUGGCGAGUAUAUGAUGAAUAUAUCAAUAGGAACUCCGCCUGUUGAGAUUUUAGCCAUUGCUGAUACUGGAAGUGAUCUUAUAUGGACUCAGUGCAAGCCUUCACUGAGUGUUACAAGCAAGCAGCUCUGUUCUUUGAUCCUGAACAGUCCUCAACUUACAAAGAUCUUUCUUGUGACUCAAGGCAAUGCACUGCUUAUGAGAGAACUUCCUGCUCAACGGAAGAAACUUGUGAAUACUCGGCUACGUAUGGCAUAGAUCUUUCUCAAAUGGUUCGACAAACGGCAGGCCUGUAGCUUUGCGCAAUAUAAUCUAUCAUGGCAACCUAAGGACUUUUGGCUGCCAAAGGGGUGGCAUCGGAUUCGGAUUAACCUCCAAAUCCGAUCGGAUAAAAACUUUGCAAUCCGAUCGGAUUUGAUUCGGAUUGGUUCGGAUCCGGAUCAAUCCGAUCGGAUUGCGCUUUGCAAUUAGAAAAACUAAAUAAUUGAAUUAUAAAUAAAAAAUAAUAGUUGAACGGCAGCCCCAAACUAAAUCCUUAAAAUCCCAAACUAGAAAGAAUCGAAGAAGCCCUUGCAGUCGCACAAAACCAGCCAAAGAAUGGAAGAAGCACUUGCAGGUUGCAGCUGCGCAAACCCAUCCAAAGAAUCAAAGAAGCAUUUGUAGUCGGCAGCCGCACAAACCCAGCCAAAGAAUCAGAGACGUUGCUACGCUUCCAGCUGAAGCCGCAAGCAAAAGUUGAAGUCCCAAACCCAGCCGCUGCAUUUAUUUGUUUAUUGCAAGGGUUUCCAAUGGAGUCGGAUCCAUCAAAGCUUGUGAGUUGUAGAGGAAUAAGAAUAGAUACUUUGACUUUCAAAAAGUUACAGAGAUUUGGGUCUCUUGACUUUCAAGUUUUGUCCGUCUUUCUCCAUUUGCUAGUUUGCUGCAUUUUUUCUUAUUUGCUCCAUUUGCUAGUUUGCUGCAUUUUUCUUAUUUUUGUGAUUUCAAUUUUGUACUGCAACUCGAAAACGAUCUGAAUUCAUCUGAUUUAUUUGAGAUCAUCUGAAUCCAAUUUCAUUAUGGUAUUACUGAUCCGAAGAAUUAAUCCGAAUUAUUCAUUCAAUCCAAAUCCGAUUCGAACAUAUCCGAAUAUGUUCAGAUCGGAUUCGGAUCCGUUUUGAAUUCGGAUUACAAUCGGAUGAAUUUUUUACCAAACCGAACAAUCCGAAUCCGAAUUUGCCCACCCUAACGGACAACCCCAUGUUCAUUUGUUGUUUUUCUAUCCCUGUUUUUUCCCCCCUCCUCUUCCCUUUUCUGAUGGAAAAAUCUUGGAACCAUCUUAUUCUGUCGGCCAAGUUUAGGUUUAACUCAGGUAAGUUAAAAAUUGAAAGUAACGCACAAAAUUUAUAAAACCUGCUUGUUUUUAUCAUGACAUCACAGCCUUAUAUAUUCAUACAAAUUGAAGUAAGAUUGCCGCUAUUACAUAUUACAUCAUUAAUUGGGCUUAAGUGUGACAAUAAGUAUUUAUGAAAUAAGUGAUCGCCUAAGGCUCCAUAUGUUAGGGAUGGCCUCAUUGUGAUCAUCUAGACCCGAUAUAUUAAGAAAACUCAUAUUUUUUAGUUCCUUAGUAUACUCUUAAAUUACUUAUAAGACGAAAGCCUAUUUUUUAGGUUCUCUUUAAUUGAUAAUUAUCUUACAAUUAAGAAGCUUUAUACAAAUUUUAUAUUUAAUAAUCUUAAUGUUAAAGAGCUAUAAUUAAUAAUAUUGUCUAAUCCUUAAUUUAUUAGUAGUUUCUCUAAGAAAAAAUUAAAUUAUUUAUCUAUUUUAAAAAAAUCUUAUUUUUUUAACAUUACAAAAUUUCUUCUGCUCUUCUUUAUAAGGAAAAUUAUUACAUUUUUUGGUUCACUUUUGAAAUUAAAAAAAAAAAGAAUAGUUUCUUGAAAUAAUAGUUCUAAAGGAAGUAAAAAAGAUACUUAUUGACUCCUUUUAUUUUUUGAAAUUUCUUACGCCAUGUUGAUUUUUUAUAUUUAAAAUUAAAAAUUAAUUAAACUUUGAGCUCUUAUAUAUUCCUUUUGAGUGUUGAGGUUGGUGAUAGUAAGGAGGCCUCAUAAAAAGUAAGGAGCUAGCCCUGCAAGGGCUUGCUAGGAUUUAUUAUUAAAGAAUACAAAAAUGAUAAGAUUUGUUAUUGUUGGAUUCCAAGUUGAGAUAUUCAUUUGCAGUAAAAGUUGGAGAGAGGGAGAGAAGGGGUGAGAGAGAGAACUAACAAUUUGUGUGCAUUCUGUUGGAAAUUUAGUUAGUUUCAUUUGAAAUUUUGCAUGGACAUUAAAUGUUGGGAUGAUCUUUUCAAAUUCUCUUGCAUAUGAAUGAAGGUUCGUGCUAUGCUAUAUAUAAUAUAACAUACAGUAACAUUUGAGUUGUCACCUAAAAUAAAACAAAAUCAUAGCAUGUGAAAAUAAUAUAAUGAAUUAGUUUGUUUAUUGAUGUAUAAAAAUUUUCAAUUACCAUCAAUCCAUUAGAAAACCUAGAAUUCAAUUUUAUGGAUAUUUUAAUAUAAUAAAAUUCUAAUAAUUAGAUAAAAAAAAUGCCUCUUAAAUUGGAAGUUUAGAGAAAAAGAUUAAAAUCUUUAAAACAACUGGGAAAAUAAUUUUCUGCUUGACUGCUAAUUUUUCCCUACUAUAAUCAAUAUCUAUCAUUUACCUUCUGCUGUCUUUAUAAUAGUCAAUCACCCCCUAAAAGAAUAAUUUUACAAUAUUAUCCUUAUUUUCAAAUAUAUUUUGAUUCAUAUUUAAUAUAAAUUAAAUAUCUUAUGAAUGGAAAUUAAGAUAAAAAAAAUCAAGCAUUAAAAAUAAGAAAUCUAUGUUUUGAUGCGAAUAAAAAAAUUAAUAAUAAACUAUUUUUUGUUCUUUUUUAUUUUUUAGACAUUUUCUUAUAAUAUAUAUUUCACAAUAUUUUAAAAUUAAAUGUAGAAAGUACAAGAAAAAUGUGUUAUUAUUUAUUUUAUAAUAUUUUUAUUAUAAUAUUUUUUUAUCAUUUUAUAAUAAUUUUGUUAUGUAUUUAUUAUAAGAAAAUAUUUUAUAAAAUAAAAAGUUCAAAAAAAUAUAAUUAAUUUUUUGUUUACAUCAAAACAUAGUUUUUUUAAUACUUAAUUUUAAUUUUCAUUAAUAUGAUUUAUUUAAUUUAUAAUAAAUAUGAAUAAAAGUAUAUUUGAAAAUAAGGACACUAUUGUAAAAUUAUACUAUCCGGAGGAUUAUUAACUAUUAUAAAAAUGGUAGGAAAUAAGUGAUAUAUAUUAAUUAGAGUAAAGAGAAAAUUGAGAAUCUCCCAAUUUUUAGUAGUGUUAAAAAUUUUAGUGAUGAACUACAACAGCCCAACACCACAAUACUAAAAAUAAUUUUAAAGUCUUCGUCAACAGCAAUUCAAUCAAAAUAUGAGCUAAAAGACUUUUUGAAUAAUUGAAUGUCACACGACCCCGUUUUACACUAUUUAAUGUGAUAAUGAUGUUUCUCCAAUAUACUUGUCGUCUCCUUUUUUUUUUUUUUUUCUUUUAAGCUUAAAAUCCGGAAAAUUCUUUGGAAGCAUGUGACUGUGCAAGCUAGCUGAAGUUCACAAAUUAAGGGUCACUAUGGAUUUUGGUUUCUUGAUGAGUAUUAUUGUUAAUCUUAAAAGAAGAGACAACCAUUCAUAUUAGGGGCCUAAGCUACGGUCCGCCCGGACCGGACAUCCCUGUGUCUCCAACAUUAUAUUUCAUGAACGGCUGCGACUAAUUUAAUUACUGUAAUUUGGAAUUUUUUCAACCGGUAGUUAAAAAGUUUCCAUGAGAUUUUAAAUGCUUACAAUCUAAUGGUUGAUAUUCAUCCGCAUAAUCUCUCUGAACACACACAUUCUCACUCUAGGAUUUAAAUUUUCAAUCUCUCUGUAAAAUUCACACAUCAUCUUAUUUAUAAUUAAUUUCUUUCUCUCAAAAACUAACUCCGGUUUUUUUUUCCCGUACAUAUUUAGGGUUUGUACUCCGAGUUAUUUCUUAUAACAAUUGGAUAUUGGUACAUUAAUUGAAACUUGGGUUUCUUCGUUAACUCUGAGAUUUUUCCCAUACGCAUUUGGUGUCUGUGUACUUUAUGUUAUUUCCAUAAAUCUUGGAGAUUUGUACAUUGAAAUUAGGAUUUGAAAUUUUUUUGUGGGAACAGCAACGUUGUGUUUUGGGGUUUGCAUAUGUACUCCGGGAUAUGAUCUUGUUCUCGUUGAUAUUGGGGUUUCCCAUCAGGCUUUCAAGCAACUACUAAAGCAAUAAUUUUGCGUCUUGUAGCUGUCUUGAGUUGCGUAAAUGAACCGUAACUCAUGGAAUCACGAUGUGAACAGAAAGACUUUUCGACUGUCAUACGACUCCAUUUGAUUUGAACUAUUUUAAUACGAUAAUGUGUGUUUCCCGUUAAUUUCGCAUCCCUAAUUUGUUGUUAGAGUGCAAUUUAUGCACUAGUUUUGCAUUGUUUACUUCCCUUAAUAUCGAUGUUUUGCACUUAAUAAUAAUGUUUUACUUGUGUUUUACUUUUGUAGGUGCAAUUCUAUUGAUUGAUGAUAAAAUUGAGCUAAAAGAUGAUGUUUAAGGAGAUUGUUCUCUUGGAGAAAUUUCUGAGCGUCAGAAGAACUUUGUUGAUAAGGCGUGGGCGCGUGCUGUCAACUGCGGACCUGCAGUUUUUAGUUUAACGUGUUUUGUAUUUUUGGUUAUUUUUGUAAUUACGAAUUUAAUAUUUCAGAUAUUAGUAUUUUAUUUUAAAUAUAAUUCAAAAAGAGAAGAGAGAGAGUAUUUAAGAGAGGAAUCUAUUGUGAAAAAGGGGGGAUUUUGGAUUGGAGAAAAAGAAACCCUAGAUCUAAUUUUUCUCUUCUCUCUAUGAGGAACUAAACUCAUUUUUCUGGUUGAAGGUUAAUGAAGCUUUGAUUCAUCACUACUGUGAGAUCUUUCUUGUGCUUUAAUUGUUUUAUUGCUUUUUGGGUAUUUAUUUAUUCUCUGAAUUAGUUUCAUGAUUAUGUUUGUUAAUUAGGUAAUUGGCCACUAUUUAAUUAUCAACUUAAUCUAUUGUCAAUUAAAGGAUUCAUCGUAUGAAGAAUUUAAUAUUUGUGACAAAUAACAUAGCAGAGAGUUGUGUUGUGAGAAUAAACAAUCUAAUUUAAAUGAAUCAUCAUAUGUGUUGAUUAGGAUUUGGGUCUCUCUGGUUUUUCAGGCUGUCAAUUGAUUAAAUUCUAUGAUCGUAUCUAGGGUUGUCUAUUGAUUAGGGAAAUAACCAACGGUCGUACCUUGGUUAUCGACUAGUUAAGGAGAGAUUGGCUAUUAGAGGGUCUCAGUAGCUAUAACCGGUCUAUUCAUGAGUAAUAAUAAUCUAUAUUUGAAUCAAUGAUCAGUAGUCGAAUCAAGCUGAGUUAAUUCCUUCAACCAGAGCUUUCUCCAAUUUGAAUUACAACUUUAAUUUGCAUUCUUGUUAUUUUAAUUUGAUUUUUAUUAUUGUCAACAAUUCCCCCAUUUUACGUUUUACGUUUCAAAAGGAUUUAAAUAAUUACCGAUCUCUGUGGACACGACCCUGCUCAAUCACUAUACACAAUUUAUUUAGAGUAGGAAUUUAUUUUUGUUGGCUUCGACACCCAUCAUUUGUUUUCUUUAAAGCUCAAAAAGCAGGACGGUUCUUUGAAAGUGAUACACCCUUGCAACCGAAGGCUGUAGCAGUUGGGUCACACUCUUUGAGCGAGUGCCAGCUCCCAAAAUUUAAAAAGAAAUAGCAAGUCUGGAGAGAGAAGUUGAGAAUAGAAGAAGAGUCGAGAAGAAUAAGAAUUGAUUCAUUUCAGAUGCCCUUUACAAAAGUUGGUUAUGCUCUACAUAUACCCCUCUAUCUUUACAGCUCAGCACACUUGUGGCAAAAAUGACAGCAAAGAAAUAACCCAGUGAAUAUAGAGUUUUAAAACAAAAAUCAAUUACACUACACGACAUAAUCCUUUAACCACCCAGGGGGCUUCCUUAUACGUGUGCUUUUCUGUGAUUCAUUAUGCUCUGCUCCCUCCUCAACAUGUGACAUGGUUUCUUCCUUGUUCUGCUCAUGAUCAGACUCAUCAUUGGGCUGCUCUUCCUGCAAAUAUUCUAGUUGGUUCAACUGAAUUCGGAAGGAUGUAUCAUUCCCUCCAGCUUCAAAACUCACCUUGUCCUCAAGGUGAAGAUCUGGAUAAAGGUUACAAAAACUUUCAAACUCUUCCCAAGUAGAAUCCUCAGGUGAACUGUCCUGCCAUUGUACCAGAAUUUGGCGGCAUUGUUCCCCUUGUUUAAGCACAGUUCUAACAGCGCAAAUUGCAGCAGGCCGAUAUAAUGGCUGAUUGUCCACACUAAUUGAUGGCAAGAUAUGAGGAGCAAGAGUUUGAGAACCAAGGAAACGCUUGAGAAGUGAAAUAUGAAAUACUGGGUGGAUCUUAGAACCACUUGGCAAUGCAAGCUUGUAAGCGACAGGACCAACUCAAGCUAGCACAGAGAAGGGACUAUAGUACCGUUUAGCUAGCUUUUGACAAGCACGAGUUGCCACUGUGGAUUGGCGAUAGGGCUGAAGUUUCACUAGAACUUGGUCCCCAAUAGCAAAUUGAACUUCACGUCUAUGGGCAUUAACCUUUUGAACCAUGCGAUGUUGAGCUUGACGCAAAUUCUCUUUCAAAGAGCGGAGUAACACAUCUCGCUCACUUAAUGCUGCAUCAAGAGCUUGGAUUGAAGUAGAGCCCUUGGAGUAAGGAGGGAUUGAUGGAGGUGGCCGCCCAAAAAGAGCCUGAAAAGGAGACAUUUUGAUGCUGCUAUGAUAAGAAGAAUUGUAGGAAAAUUCAGCCCACCCGAGUAGAGAUACCCAUGAAGUUGGUUUUUCUUGAGUGAAAGCACGGAGAUAUUGUUCCAAUCCGCGGUUGACCACCUCCGAUUGCCCAUCUGUUUGUGGGUGAUAAGCGGUACUGCGGCGAAGAGUUGUGCCACUUAACUCAAAUAAUUUCUUCCAAAAUUCGCUUAAGAAUACAGGAUCACGAUCAGAGAUAAUAGAGCUAGGAAAACCAUGAAGCUUGAUAACCAUAUUCACAAAUAAUUCAGCUGUCUUCACAACAGUAAAUUGAGUUGGGAGGGGUUCAAAGUGCGCUGAUUUAGUAAGGCGAUCAACAACUACCAAGAUCACUGUGAAACCACGAGAAACCGGAAGGCCAGUAAUGACGUCCAUAGUGAGCUCGUCCCAAACUAAAGUCGGAAUAGGAAGAGGCUGCAGUGGCCCCGCUGGUGCUUGAGUGGAAUAUUUGGUUUGUUGACAUACAAGGCACUCAGCCACAAAUCGCUCAACAUCACUACGCAUGUUAGGCCAAAAGAAAGUAGAUGCCAAUCGGACUAACGUGCGUUUGACGCCUGCAUGCCCAGCAAGUAGAGUAGAGUGGAAUUCAGCCAAUAAAACAGCUUUCAAUGAUGAUGAAGGACUGAUAUAAUAGCGAUGGCGAUAAAGAAGAAACCCAUUUUGGACCGAGUAAUCACUUGAAAGAGAGCCUACAGCCAAUUGGUGAUGAAGAUGAAUCAUAUCAGGAAGAGUGGAAUUCUCGGAAUGUAGGGUUGCUAACAACUCAAACGAAGGAUGACUAAGAAGAGGCAAACAAGAGGCAGGCCGUGUUGAUGGUUCCACCCUAGCCUCCUCAUGAACGCGUGAUAAGGCAUCUGCUGCAAGAUUAGUGCAACCCGGUUUAUAAUCAAUGCGGAAGUGAUAGCCUAAUAAUUUUCGGAUGUAAACUUGCUGAUCCGGAGUCUGGACUACUUGUUGUAGGAGUUCUUUAAUGCUUUUAUGAUCCGUUCGGAUUACAAAAAAUCUGCCUAACAAGUAUUGGCGCCAUUUAUGCACUGCUUCAACAAUAGCAGUCAAUUCUUUGAGGUAGGUAGAAGAAGCACGAAGUUGAGGGCCUAAUUUCUUGCUGAAGUAACAUAUGGGGUGUCCAUAUUGCAUAAGCACAGCCCCUAUCCCCACAUUAGAUGCGUCAGUCUCGAGAAUGAAUUCAGAGUCAAAAUCCGGCAGCCGCAACACCGGGGCUUCCACCAUUGCUCUCUUAAGGGCUUCAAAUGCUUCGGCUGUUGCUUGGGUCCACUUGAAGGCGUCUUUACAUAGUAAGUCGGUAAGGGUUGCUGCUAAAGAAGCAUAGCCACGAAUAAACCGCCGAUAAUAACCCGUCAAACCUAAAAAACCCCGAAGUUGUUUCGUGGUCUGAGGAGGUGGCCAGCGGACCAUAGCUGCAAUUUUCUGAGGGUCAGCGCGCACACCAGAGGCUGAAACAAUGUGGCCCAAGUAAUCAAUAGCUUCUUGACAAAACAAGCACUUGGAUAACUUGACAAAGAACUGAUGGAAUUUGAGGCACAAUAACACUUGCUCAAGAUGUCCGAAAUGCUCCUCCACUGUAGCACUAUAAACCAAAAUGUCAUCAAAAAAAACAAUCACAAAUUUACGAAGAAAUGAAGCAAAAAUCUGGUUCAUGGUAGCUUGGAAAGUAGACGGCGCGUUUGUUAAACCAAACGGCAUGACAAGAAACUCGUAGUGGCCCUCAUGAGUGCGAAAAGCCGUUUUAUAAAUGUCGCGGUGGUGCACGCGAAUUUGAUGGUAACCAGCCCGCAAGUCCAGUUUGGUAAAAAUUGCAGCCCCGCCUAAUUCAUCAAAUAAUUCGUCUAUGGUUGGGAUGGGAAAUUUGUCUUUAAUGGUCACUGCAUUCAAAGCCCUGUAAUCGACACAGAAGCGAUAAGUCCCAUCCUUUUUCUUCACCAAUAAGACGGGCGACGAAAACGGACUUUGACUUGGUCGAAUUAUACCUUGUUCUAACAUUUCACGGAUCAGUUUUUCCAUCUCGUUUUUUUGGAAAUGGGGGUAGCGAUAUGGGCGGACAUUUACUGGAGUUGUGUUUGGGAGAAGAUGAAUUUUAUGGUCAAUGGUACGAUGCGGUGGCAGUGCGGUAGGUGGGAGAAAUAGGUUGCGGUAGGUGUGUAGGAGGGUAACAAAAGGCUCUGUUAAAUUUGCAGGCAAUUCAAAAGGGGAACCCUCUGGAGUAUGUGCCGAUUCUUCCCCAAGCACAUGUACCGGCUGCAGAGUAAACAAAUGAGAAAUAUCAGCAUUGUGGACUAAAGCUUGCAACUGAUUAAGGGUGAUUAAGGAUGAAGUAGUGGAUAAAUCGCCGCGAAGAGUCACUGGUGCCCCAUUCCAACAAAAAUCCAUAGAAAGAGCGGAGUAAUCAUGAUAAACACGGCCCAAGAGUUGAAGCCAUUGAAUUCCAAGCACCACGUCAGGCCCCUCAAUUGGAAGAACAAAAAGAUCUACAGUGAAAACCAUACCCUGCAUCGUGAGAGCAACCUAUGGGCAAAAAUAUUUGCACACUAGAAAAUCCCCAUUGCCAAUAUAAACACGAAAAUUGGCUGUUGGCUGAAUUGGCAAGCCCAAACGUUCUGCUAAUGCUGGUUUGAUAAAGUUGUGGGUACUACCACUGUCAAUCAACACUUGAAAACUCUGAGAACGAACUUCACCUACCAAACGGAGUGAGCGUGGAUUGAUUUGCCCCGCCAAGGCAUUCAAACUGGAAAUAUCCCCUGUUACGACUUCUUCGACAGAAUCUGAUGACAGCAAUUCCUCACAAAAAUCAGGUUCGACAUCAUCCGUACCCAUAAGAAGCAAAAAUUUACUGCGACAGCGAUGGUUAGCGCUGUAUUUUUUAUCGCAGUUAUAACACAAUCCCUUUUCACGUUUGUCACGGAGCUCGGCUGGAGUAAGGCGGCGGAUCGGUAAGUUGGGUGUGGGUAGAAGUGGUGGUAACGGAUUUGGUUUAGAGAGGGAAGGAUUAGUUUGUGGAGGAGUGGGUGUGUAGGCGACACUAGUGGAAUGGACCGGCUGAGUUGAUGUAAGUUGAUAUGGGUGAGGUGGAAAUUUGGGUGAGGAGGAAUGUGUGUGAGGGUGGAGUGACGCGUGGUUCCAUUUUGGUACAAAACGUUGUCCCUGUUUGGCCUCUUCAGCACGCGCUUCAUAAGCACGAGCUAAUGCAAACGCCUCCAUCAAAGAAGAAGGCCGAGCAAAAAGCAACUCACGACGAAUAUCGGGUUUCAAUCCUGUGAUAAAGAAACUGAUCAAGAGUGGUUCGGAAAUUCCAGUCACUCGAUUCAUUAAAUCUUCAAAAGCUGUUUGAAAUUCCGCCACUGUUGUGGUUUGUGUUAACUUAGAUAAAUUUCCUUGAGGAUCGUCAUAGAGGGAUGCACCGAAGCGAUGUUUGAGAUUCUGUAAAAAUUCCUUCCAAGUUGUAAGCAGGCUGUUCAUCUUCAUCCAUUGAUACCACGCCGCUGCGCGGCCUUCCAUAUGAAAAGAAACAAUCCGUAAACGAAGAGGUUCUGAGGUACCAUGAAAAUCAAAGAACUCUUCAAUUCGGAAAACCCAUCCGUUUGGGUCAGAUCCAUCAAACUUAGGGACCUCCAUUUUCAUAGAGCGUAACACUGGCGAUAUCUCAGUACCACCAGAAUUUACCUCAGGGAAAUGAGAUAUUGGGUCGGGUUGAUGACGAGCUCUACCCGAGGUGGUGGAAGAGCCAUGGAUCUGUGAACGCAAAUCAUCGAGGCGAGAGUCCACUGUUGCCAUAUAUUGUUGCAAUGUUUGAUGCAACGACAAUGUUUGGCUUUCGAACUGCUCUUGAAUCGUCUUUAACACCUCAGAAUCUGCCAUGGUGAUAGCAAUGAAAGCACCAAUGAUACACCCUUGCAACCGAAGGCUGUAGCAGUUGGGUCACACUCUUUGAGCGAGUGCCAGCUCCCAAAAUUUAAAAAGAAAUAGCAAGUCUGGAGAGAGAAGUUGAGAAUAGAAGAAGAGUCGAGAAGAAUAAGAAUUGAUUCAUUUCAGAUGCCCUUUACAAAAGUUGGUUAUGCUCUACAUAUACCCCUCUAUCUUUACAGCUCAGCACACUUGUGGCAAAAAUGACAGCAAAGAAAUAACCCAGUGAAUAUAGAGUUUUAAAACAAAAAUCAAUUACACUACACGACAUAAUCCUUUAACCACCCAGGGGGCUUCCUUAUACGUGUGCUUUUCUGUGAUUCAUUAUGCUCUGCUCCCUCCUCAACAUGUGACAUGGUUUCUUCCUUGUUCUGCUCAUGAUCGGACUCAUCAUUGGGCUGCUCUUCCUGCAAAUAUUCUGGUUGGUUCAACUGAAUUCGGAAGGAUGUAUCAGAAAGCGUGUCAAUUGUGUGAGCCAAGUUCACACAUCAAUGGCUAAAGACAAGACAGCCAUUCAGACUAUGAAAUUUAUAUCGGCAACAGACUUGGUAAACGAUGAACAAUUGUAAAUUUAAAGCAUUAAUUGACUAUGCUAUUUUUAUACUAAAAGUCGAACAAAAUAUAUUUAAGAAAUAAGUCUUAAGAAAAAGCAAAAGCGUUUGCAUAAAAGAAAGACUUCGUAAAGAGUAAAACGUGAUAUAAAGACAGUGAAAGUGUAUGCUUACUUCACCUGUUGUGAUGUCAUCAUAGCUAGGCAUCAAGUAAUUAGACGAUAAGAUCAAAGUUUUAAGCUGUCCUCAAUGAUUCUCAUAAGUAUUAUGCUUAUAGUUUAGUUUAUAUAUAUAAUUUAUAUUUCACCAAUAAACAAUCUCGAUUACAUAGACAUGUGGCUAAGCUUGCUUCCCUUUCAUCUGGGCUAAGUUCACAUAGAAGAAGGAUUUUUAAGCCAAACAAAUUCAAAAAUUGUCACCCAAGUUGCAACAAUAAGAUAAUUGUCACUCUAACAAAAGCUGACUACAUGAGAAAGUUUCAUUUUCUUGGAAGCUCAUCUUCUUUACUUUUUUUUUUUUUUGGUCUUCUAUUCAAAAUUAAUUAAAUUUUCCAAAUUAUCACUGUGUCCUCCUCUAUAUAAGCAUAGACCCGUUGCCACUUUCUUAUUAUCUCAAUAACAGCCUUGAUUAUGGCAACCUUCUUGAGUUGUGCAUUCAUUCUCUUCUUUCUUUUUUUUUAUGUAGUCUCUCCAAUAGAAGCUCAAACUGGAGGUUUCAGUGUUGAGCUAAUCCACCGUGACUCUCCCAAGUCUCCCUUUUACAACUCCAGUGAAACUCCCUACCAACGAUUGAGAAAUGCUUUUACUCGUUCUACCAAUCGUCCCAAUCACUUUAAUCAGAACUCAUCAAUAUCUUCAUCAAAAGCUUCCCAAGCUGAUAUAAUACCCAAUAUCGGAGACUAUCUCAUACGUAUAUCAAUUGGUACUCCCGCGACUGAAAUACUAGCAGUUGCUGAUACAGGAAGUGACCUCAUAUGGACGCAGUGCGAGCCUCGCCCACCAUCACAAUGUUACAUGCAGGACUCUCCACUUUUUGAUCCUAAAAAGUCAUCUACUUACAAAUCUCUUCCAUGCUCGUCAAGCCAAUGUGCAUCUCUUAACCAAAAAUCUUGCUCUGGGGUAAAUUGUCAAUACUCGGUCUCUUAUGGAGAUGGAUCCUUCUCAAAUGGCAAUCUUGCUACCGAAACUGUUACUCUGGGUUCAACAACAGGACAGGCCGUUGCUCUGCCUGGAAUAACCUUUGGUUGCGGAACAAACAAUGGUGGCUUGUUUAAUUCAAAAACAACCGGAAUUGUUGGCCUUGGAGGCGGCGAUAUUUCACUUAUUUCUCAAAUGCGAUCUACAAUUGCUGGUAAAUUCUCCUAUUGUU